rnacentral:rRNA from 1 species
GAUGAACGCUGGCGGCGUGCCUAAUACAUGCAAGUCGAGCGAACAGAUGAGGAGCUUGCUCCUCUGACGUUAGCGGCGGACGGGUGAGUAACACGUGGAUAACCUACCUAUAAGACUGGGAUAACUUCGGGAAACCGGAGCUAAUACCGGAUAAUAUAUUGAACCGCAUGGUUCAAUAGUGAAAGACGGUUUUGCUGUCACUUAUAGAUGGAUCCGCGCCACAUUAGCUAGUUGGUAAGGUAACGGCUUACCAAGGCAACGAUGCGUAGCCGACCUGAGAGGGUGAUCGGCCACACUGGAACUGAGACACGGUCCAGACUCCUACGGGAGGCAGCAGUAGGGAAUCUUCCUCAAUGGGCGAAAGCCUGACGGAGCAACGCCGCGUGAGUGAUGAAGGUCUUCGGAUCGUAAAACUCUGUUAUUAGGGAAGAACAAAUGUGUAAGUAACUAUGCACGUCUUGACGGUACCUAAUCAGAAAGCCACGGCUAACUACGUG